CGUACACUCCUGCGGGAGGCAGCAGUGGGGAAUAUUGGACAAUGGGCGCAAGCCUGAUCCAGCCAUGCCGCGUGAGUGAUGAAGGCCCUAGGGUUGUAAAGCUCUUUCACCGGUGAAGAUAAUGACGGUAACCGGAGAAGAAGCCCCGGCUAACUUCGUGCCAGCAGCCGCGGUAAUACGAAGGGGGCUAGCGUUGUUCGGAUUUACUGGGCGUAAAGCGCACGUAGGCGGACUAUUAAGUCAGGGGUGAAAUCCCGGGGCUCAACCCCGGAACUGCCUUUGAUACUGGUAGUCUUGAGUUCGAGAGAGGUGAUUGGAAUUCCGAGUGUAGAGGUGAAAUUCGUAGAUAUUCGGAGGAACACCAGUGGCGAAGGCGGCUCACUGGCUCGAUACUGACGCUGAGGUGCGAAAGCGUGGGGAGCAAACAGGAUUAGAAACCCUGGUAGUCCCAUGA
rnacentral:rRNA from 1 species